CAGUCGCCGCGGUAAAACGUAGGGUGCGAGCGUUAAUCGGAAUUACUGGGCGUAAAGCGUGCGCAGGCGGUUCGUUAAGACAGAUGUGAAAUCCCCGGGCUCAACCUGGGAAUUGCAGUGGAUACUGGAUCACUAGAGUGUGGUAGAGGAUAGUGGAAUUUCCGGUGUAGCAGUGAAAUGCGUAGAGAUGUGGAGGAACACCAGUGGCGAAGGCGACUCUCUGGUCUGUAACUGACGCUGAGGAGCGAAAGCGUGGGGAGCGAACAGGAUUAGAUACCCCUGUAGUCCCUGUCUCUUAUAU
rnacentral:rRNA from 1 species